CCUAUCCCCUGUGUGCCUUGGAGUCUCAGUGUCUCACAGUUUUGAUCCUGGCUCAGAUUGAACGCUGGCGGCAUGCUUUACACAUGCAAGUCGAACGGCAGCACGGGGGCAACCCUGGUGGCGAGUGGCGAACGGGUGAGUAAUGCAUCGGAACGUAUCUUCAAGUGGGGGAUAACGCACCGAAAGGUGUGCUAAUACCGCAUAAUCUC
rnacentral:rRNA from 1 species